GCCUGGGUGGCUCAGUCGGUUGAGCGUCCGACUUCAGCUCAGGUCAUGAUCUCACAGUUUGUGGGUUCAAGCCCCGCAUCAGGCU
rfam:Felis catus isolate Cinnamon breed Abyssinian chromosome D2, whole genome shotgun sequence.